GCUGAAAUUACUUUACUUUGCGUACGUUGCCUUAAAUACACCCACGCGUUUGUGCUACAACGAGCCGAUUUAGUUGUACGUAAGGAAAUUUAUUUUGUUUUAAAAUAUCUAUGGGUUAUCAAAGUGCCUUUCACAGGAAGUUUCAAGGUAUUGUACGGAAGAAAGAGAUGACGAAAGUUCACCAGAUCGACCUGUGUCCGAAGUGAAUGUUGAUGUAUGUAAUUAAAUCCAUGUGAAGUGUAGAGUAGUUCUGAACGAUGGUUGGAAACUCUAUCAAAUUUGUCAGAAGCCUUCUAAUUUAAUGUGAACUCAAAUCGAUACUUCAUGGCGAGCAGUCGACUUGUGUAGUCUGUAAUAUGGCUUCUGAAUCUCCUGGAAUGUAUGGAAAAUUCAUGUAGCGUAUUCAUCCUUAACUGGAUCAGUACAAACGAAGUGGAAUGUGUGUAUGCUCUAAAUAAAGUGUCGAUGUUG